GUGGGUUUUCGCCUGGGAGAUAUGGGAAAUCAAAACUGCCAAUAAUAGUAUAAGGGGCACCGUUAUAAAUUAAAACCGUUAGAGUUUUUGAUCAUGAAAAAAAAAUAGAAUAAAAAGUGGGCUAGAAACUAAAUGAAAGUAGUGCAUUCAUAUGUAGUCUGAGCUGGGGAUAGCACUCUACAGCAAGAUUACCGCUAGGGUGUGUGAAAUCGACUGUGCAAAAAGAGAAAAAAGUACCGAAACCUAAGUAAUCUGUGGUUGGGGAUAGAGACUCUACAGCCGGAUUGCCUCUUGGUUAGGGAAAGCAUCGUCUACGCUCACUUAGAAAAAAAAAAGCGAAAGAAAAAGAAAGAAAAAAAAAGAAAAAAAAGAAAAAUAUGAUUGUAAACUUUUCUGGUUUUGAUAUAAGACGGUUGGGAAUUGGUCCAGUGAUCGCUCCUUUAGUCCUAUAAGCUUGAGGCGGGAGUAGGUGGACUGUAGAUUCUAGCGUGAGACCCUAGGUAGACUGACCGCACUUAAAUUAAAUUCACAUGAUAAGGGCUUAGGAUUGGAUUCGGGUUUAAGGGGAGAAGUAUAUUCGCAAUCGCAGCUAACACAAGUCUUGGUUUUAAUUAAAUAUACCUAUGCUUUUCACCCGAGUGAAUAUUUGUCUAUGAUUCCGUUGCAUAAUUCUUUUUCGAGGACGAAAAAAGAGUAAGUGUGGGGAUGUUUGAUGUAUUGCAAAAUACAUCAUUUAUUCGUGUACAGUUUGUCCUGAUGUUCAAAUAUGCGAGAAAGCGAGUAAAACGAGUAAAAUAUUGAAGUGUCAAGUCUUGAAGCAUGUUGGAAAGGUCGAGGAGUUGAAAUAGAGUUAAAGAGCUGAAAAAUCACUCUCUGGCACCCCAUCACCCACUAAGCAAGUCUGUGGCACCAGGCGAGAGACUGAAGGUAGUACAUGAGCUGAAAAACAAGGUGGCACCCCACCACCCAGUCCCUGAUUUUGUGGCGCCCAGCCAGAAGCUUCUGGCUGGCAAUUAUUACGAAUUUAAUAAGGGUUUUUUAUGGGAAGUCAUAUAUAAUCAUCCUAAACUUGGGAAAAAACCCUAAUUCGACUUUGGGGACUUCUUGGGCGAUUGUUGAGCAUUCUUGGAGCGUUUUUAGAGAUUUUGAAGCCUAGGAAUCAUCGGUACGAGUUCGGGGAAGAAGACUUGAAGAUCUAAUCGGGUUUUCUAGUUCUUUGUUCUUGAUUUUUCUUACGAAACUUGUUACAAUGAAUUCUUUGUUAAACAUCUUUGAAUUGUUUUCGUUUAUGAACAUGCUCGGCUAGAUU
rnacentral:lncRNA from 1 species